AAGCUCUCUCUCAAGCCCGAGAGUCUCAAACCUCACUACCACCUAAAGUUCUUCACAAAUCAAACCCCGAACCUACAUUUUCGAGAUUAAUGGGACUGGUGAUGGUCUUGCAUGCACCAUCAGUGCACCAUGAGGUGCAAUUCCAUUGAAAUCCAAGAGCUCCGAGCUCUAACCUUAAGCUCAGCAUGCAAAUCUACCACCGACAGCGAAUUCGAGCAAUUUCUGUUGAAUUCAAGAGAAAGAGGAUGAACUUCGGCAAGUUUAAGGUCCAUUUCUUCUCAAAACUUGCUGCAAUGCAUCUGGAUUCCAGCACCGACGAACGGCGGAGGUCAUUAGUUUUGACGAAGGCGUCAACGGUUCCAUUAGAGAUAACAGACUCUACUGAUGGAAUAGGUAUAUUCAGUUUCCUUAGUUAAUUAUGGCCGAGGACUGACACUUUUCACCGGCGACGGCAAGUGCGAUGUCUAUUCGCUAAACCAUGGCGGUGUGUUCACUGGAGACACUUUCCCAGCACAUGAUGGCACAUGACAACACCGCAGCAGUGCGUAGCCGGAGCACGACGGCGAAUGUAGGACCCGAGACCUAUCCUUAGGUUUUUCAGUGUUCUAAAUCACACGGCGCCUUCUGUUUGUGCAAAUUCAAUGUCUAAAUAGUAAUUUUAGACGAUUAUACAUAGAUUUCACUUUAAAUCUUAUGUUAGCUUUACAAUUACUUCACUGGCGAUUUAGACUAGAAAUGAGUUAGGCAAUAAAGCCUAUUGAGGAAGG
rnacentral:sRNA from 1 species